rnacentral:rRNA from 1 species
CAGAGUUAAAGUAGCCAAAAUGUACGCUAAUGUAGAUCCCAGAAAAGGUGUUGAUUCAUUUAGACAGCAGGACGGUGGUCAUGGAAGUCGAAAUCCGCUAAGAAGUGUGUAACAACUUACCUGCCGAAUGAAUUAGCCUGAAAAUUGAUGGCGCUCAAGCGUACUACUUAUACUCUGCCGUCAAGACACACUAAAAAUGACGUCUUGACGAGUAGGUGUGCGUGGAGGUUGCAGAGAAGCUUUCCCCGUGAGGGGGAGUGUAGCAGCCUUUAGUGCAGAUCUUGGUGGUAGUAGCAAAUAUUCAAGUGAGAACCUUGAAGGCCGAAGUGGAGAAAGGUUUCGCGAGAACAGCAUUUGAUCGCGAGUCAGUCGAUCCUGAGGCACAGAUUAACCUCGUGAACAGCAUAAUUGGAGCCAAGGGGGGCAACUCUCUUGGUUCUAUUUCAAGUUAUGCUUAUUAUGCCGAAAGGGAAUCAGGGUUAAUAUUCCUGAACCUGGAC